rnacentral:sRNA from 1 species
AUGCGACAAGGCCAAACUCUCUCUUCAAUUGAUGAGGAUGACGAUGACAAUGAGGUAGUCGUUUGUCAAGACAGCGUUGUUUGACAGAGUGGCCGAGGAAGCAGAAAUAGUGGGGUUUGACGGCAUUGUUUUGGUCGAGUUAGGGUUGGUGGUGUGAAACGAUUUCGUUGGAUUUAAGGAGGCAGAAAUGAUGUCGUUGGAUCUGCUCCAAACCCAAAAACUCAAAUCUACUCCAAACCCAAAAACCAUAGAAUUUUUCUUUGAGUUUUUUUGUUACUUGUUGCUGUGUUUGGUUGCUAAGGGAUGGGUUUGUUUGAUUGGGUUUGACUUGCUCUUAAUCGAUGGUGGUGGUGGGUUUGAAUGUGAGAACAUGAAGUUUGCUGAGUAUUCUUGAUCUUGUUCUGGGUUUGAUUGUGAGAAGGUGAAGUUUGAUUCUAGGUUUGCUCUUGUUCUCUUCGACUUGCACUGUUGGUUUCUUUGAUUUGUUUCUUGUUUUUCUGGAUUUCAUAGAGAUUAGAUUUGGUUGCUGGAUUUUAAAAAAAAAACGAUUUGGUUGCUGGAUUUAGAUUCGAGGUUUGUCAUAUAUUGGUUUGGAUGUUGUGUUUAUUUCUUGGAUUUGGGAAGAACUUGUAAAAAAUUGAGUAAUUAAUUAAUUUUUUUUUUUUUUGGCAUUUAAAAAAUGCCAAAUAAUUUUUUUAAUAAUAUUUUUUAUUGAUCCGUUAGUUUCCCCGUUAGUUUGGUGACGGAAUGGUGUUUCAAGGACUUAAAUGAAGGGCGUUAAUUGGUUUAGGGAUUAAAAGUGGUAAAAAUAAAAUGUAGGGACUAAAAUGGAAAAAAGUUAAAAUGUAGGGACUAAAAGUGCAUUUAUGCCAAUAAAUAUAUAUAUAUAUAUAUAUAUGUUAGAAAAAAAUAAAAGCUCCAGAUUAGGUUAAAACUCAUUGUUUCAUAUUAUUCAUUAAUUUUUUUUUCUGUCCCAUUAUUUUAAAUUAUCUUUUUUGGAGAAAUAUAGUUUGUCCAUUACUAAGUUGCUAAAUUAACCUCAGGAAAAAAAAUGACUUCACAUGAAAACAUUGGUAGUUCCAAUCCAUCUAGCAACGAUCAAUUUCCUUUGAUAGUAGAUGAAGAUAAUGCAACCCCGUCAUCACCUCUAUUGAAUAUGCCAAAAGAUGUCCAAGCAGUCCAGCCUAACAAUGAGAUAAUUGAAGAAGAGGGGACGUACAAAUCAAUUGUUUGGAAUCAUUUUAAGAGAAAGAGAGUUGCUGAGAAAGAUAAGGCUGAGUGCAAUUAUUGUAAGAAAUUACUAGUAAGGGGAUCCAAUUAUGGCACUAAACAUUUUUAUGACCACGUGAAAAUAUGUCCAAGGAGAAAGCUUCAAGACAUUAGGGAUAUGAAUCAAAAAAAAUUGGUGAAGGAUCAAAAUAAAGUGGAUUCAAUGGCGGGUGUGAAUGCUUAUCAUUUUGAUCAAUAUGUAUCAAGAAAUGAACUUGCUUUUAUGAUUAUCUUGCAUGAGUAUCCCCUUUCUAUAGUUGACCACAUUGGUUUUAGAAAAUAUUCAACUUUUCUCUUCAACCAUUGUUUAGGAUGGUUUCUAGGAAUCAAAGAAAGGGAGAAAUCAAAGCAUGAAAUUGAUAAGAAUCAAGGUAGAAUAUAUAUUACCACUGAUAUGUGGACUUCACAAAACAAAAGGCGAGGCUUUAUGGUUGUAACAACACACUUCAUUGAUGGUUUGUGGAGAUUACAAAACUGAGUUAUGAGGUACUUUUUAAAAGUAUAUAUUCAUUUUUAUGUUUUAAUUAAAUUCAUUUCAAAUGUUUUAUGAACUUAUAUCAUUGUUAGUUCUAAUUAUUUAAAAUUUUCAUUUAAGGUUUAUUUAUAUGUCAUCUCCACUGUUAGAGAUAUAUUAGACAUAUUAGCGCGUUGCUAAUAUAUUUAACAUCCACGUACAAAAGAAGUGCUUUCUAGUGUCCUUCUAGAUACUUUGUUGGAGUGGAAUAUUGAUAGGAAGUUAUCUACUGACUAUGGACAAUAGCAAUACCAAUGAUGCAAUUAUAAAAAUUAUCUUAGAUAAGCUUCAAUGUGGUGCACUUAUUAUAUGUGGUUCAAUGUUGCAUAUGCGUUGUGCAGCACAUGUUCUUAAUUUGAUUGUUCAUGAUGGUUUGGAUGUAAUUGGAUCAUGCAUUGAAAAGGUUCGAGAGAGUGUGAGAUUUUAAAUUGCAUCAACAAAGAGAAGGCAGAAGUUUGAAGAAACAGCCCGAAAAACACAUGUUGAAUGCACCAAAGAACUGGCCCUUGAUUGUAAGACUUGUUGGAACUCUAACUAUCUCAUGCUUUCUAUUGCUAUAAAGUAUCAAAAUGUCUUUUAUCGAUUGAAAAUAUGUGAGUCAUCUUAUAAGUGCAUUCCAACGAAGGAAGAAUGGGAGAUGACAAGUAGUAUAUGUGAGAGACUGGCAAUGUUUCACAAGGUUACAAAGCUAUUCUCAAGUACCUCACACCCCACAGCUAAUCUUUUCUUUCCUAAGGUGUGUGAAAUAAAAAUAGCUUUGAAUUCUUGGUUUUACGAGCGCAAGUGAGGUGAUUAGGAGUAUGGCAUUUAAAAUGUUGGAAAAAUUUGAUUGUUACCGGAAUGUGAUUCAUGGUGUUAUGGCCGUGGCAACCAUUUUAGAGCCAAGAUAUAAGAUUGAAUUGUUAGAAUAUUAUUUUCCAAUAAUUUAUGGUGAUGAAGCUGAUAAUGAAAUUCAAAGGGUUAAAGAUAUUUGUUAUGAAAUGAUUUCGUGGCUACAAUUCUGGGAGAAUGGGUAGGGAAAGUAUUUGUGGCCCUUGUGUGGGAGAUGAUCCGCAAGUUGAUGACUCCCUUAUGGACUUUGAAAGAUACCUUAGUCAGAAAAAAAAGGGGUGGGAAUAUUAAAUUGGAGUUGGACCAUUACCUUGAGGAUGAUUUAAUGCCAAGAACUGUGGAUUUUGACAUUUUAGCAUGGUGGAAAUCUAGUGGGCCUAAGUAUCCUACUUUGAAACGUAUUGCAAGGGAUGUCCUUACCAUUCUAGUGUCAAUUGUUGCCUCAGAGUCAUCAUUUAGCACAAGUGAUCGAUUGUUAAGUCCACAUCGCAGUAAACUUAAUCAAAAGACUGUGGAGGCAUUAAUGUGUGCUCAAAAUUGGUUAUGGGCUGAAAUUAAUGGUAAAUAAAUUUACUAGUUUAAUUAUGCAAUGAUUUAUGUUGCUGCAUUAUUUAUUAUAUUUUUCAAUUAUUUGAUUGAAUUUAUUUUACCUUUUUUUAGGCUUUUCAUCUACUAUAGAUGGAAUUGAAGAUGCAUUCCAAAACAUCCUGGAUGAUUAUGAUGAUGAAGAAGAAAGUGGUUUCACAAUGAUGGAAGAAAGUGGAGAUUCUUUUUGAAGAACUAGGCAAUUUUUAUUUUGUUAUGUAUUAAGAGUUUGGAUUACUUUAUUGUGCAUUCUAUGAUAUUUUUGUUGUGAUAUUGUUGUAUUAAACACUUAGAUAAUAUUAUUCAGUUUUUGCUAAAAAUUAGUUUGAUUUAAUGGGAUAAAUUUAUUUAUAAUUUCAAGUAUAUUUUUAUUAUUAAAACAAACAAUUUUAUUUGAAAAAAUUGUAAUAGUUGUAGGACAAAUUAACAAGAAAUAGAGUUUUACGGGAUAAGACAGGAAUUCGCAAGGCCUUAAAGGGCGGUGAUGGGGCAAGAUAUUUUUCCCAUCAUGCGGGCCGAGGUGAGAAUGGGGUAAAAAAAAAACCAUGCAAGGCCAAAGACCCCAUCUUUCAGCCCCGUGGGGUCUCAUUGUCAUCCCUUAAGACUCCCAAGAAAUUCACAAUAAACGACACCGCUUCGAGAAAGUUAUUAAAAACUGAAACCCGCGAAAGCGAAAGCCCAAGCCCAACCGUCAAUCAAAAUUUAUCAACCAGAAGAGAAAAAAAAAGGCGGGAAGCAAAACCCAAUAAAAUUAAAAAUCCCCAAAACUCAAAAUAAUAACCGUUUUAAAUUUCCGCUCAAUUAAAAAAAAAAAAAUAUAUAUAUAUAUAUNGGCUUUUUUCUGGAAAAUUUUUUUAUACCAGGUUUCAGUGGACCUAUAGCGGCGUUUUUUAUCCCUAUAGUGGCGUUUUUAACCCCUAUAGUGACGUUUUGGAACUCGAUUUCCAUUUAAUCGAGUUUCAUGCAAUUUUUUUUUUUUUUUUAAGUUUGAUCAGGCAUAACUCGAUUUUAGACCAAUCGAGUACUUUAAGUAACUCGAUUUUAAGGUCAUCGAGUAUCGAAACAGGGGCACGAACCUAUAUAGUUUCAAAACAGGGGCAUAUUGCUAAAUUUUUUUAAAAUUAAGGGCAAAAGGCCAGAAUGCCCUCUAUAUAUAAUUUAUAAAACGGCUAGUCUUUUCACUUUCUCUCUCUCACUUUCCUUUUUCCACUUUUCUCUCUCUGAAAAAAUUCUCUCCCUUUCUCAGAUAACCCAACCCAUCUUCAAAAGCAGAAAAUUUUCCCUCAAGUGGUUUUCCUUUCCACAAAAACAUACAUAUUCAAUUCAAGAAACGGAUAAUGCCCCUCAGGACCUGUUCCAGACCCCAACCGAGGGUUCCCUACUCGCCAGCUCGGAAGAACAGCAGCCACCGGUGGCCGCCGAUGAUCCGGCGGUCGACGAGCCACGCGCUCCCGACCCCAAUUGUACGGACGGCGAUGAGGCUGUCCAACUUUCCAUGGAAGGCUCGACAAAGAGAAAGCUGGAGUUUCCUUAUGGAGAUACCGUUAUUGUUGAUUCUGAAUUGGAAGAAGACGAUUGGGAAGAAGGUGAAGAGAAGAGUCAGGAGAAGUUGCGCGAAAAGGCGAAUGGUAGCGAGAGGUACCGCGUGCUACCGGCGUCAAUGGCGCAGGAGGAGAAUAGAGCAGAGGGAGUGAAGAAUAAUCGUGGCGUAAUUGGGAAGGAGGUUACAAUAUUGGAUGUGUUGAAAAUGUUAAAACAGAGGUGUGAUGAUGAAGAAGAAAAGGAUGAUGGGCUUAAGAGUGUUCUCUUCCACCGCCAUUUCUUCAAUAAUCUCAGUAUCUUGACGAGUCAAUUGAGCCUCAGAAUCCAAAUUUUUCGAAAGCCUUAAUAUCUUUGAUUGCUCCGAAAACCAGUCCUUCCCCAAAUCAACAGCCUCAUCGCCAUCCAUACAAUUGGGGUCGGGAGCGCGUGGCCCGUCAACCGCCGGAUCAUCGGUGGCCACCGGUGGCUGCUGUUCUUCCGAGCUGGCGAGUAGGGAACCCUCGGCUGGGGUCAGGGGUUCAAAGAUUUUCCCCAGAAAAUCUGAUCCCCUCUCUCUCUUCAAACGGGUUUUUAAUUUUGAAAUGCUUAAUUUCUUAAUUUUAAUUUUAAUUUUAUUUCUGUUUUUGCAGACUACUGACGGUGAUGAAGAAGAAAAGGGUUUGAAGAUUUUCUCUGGUGAGGGGGUUUUCCAUGCCGCUGGUGGCCGAUUAUGCCUAUGUCAGAGAGGAAGACUAAUGGGUUUUUUUUUUUUUUUGUGCUUUCACAUGGUUUAGAUUAAUGGGGUUUUUUUGUGCUUUCAUAUGGUUUAGACUAAUGGGUUUUUCUUUUUUUGAAUUCUGAUUUGUUUGCAAGUUCCUGUUGAUUUGGUUCUUGAAUGUUAUUGAUUUUAUUAACUAGACUUUUAAAUUUUGUAUGCCUUUCUUGGUUUUUUUAUUUUUAUUUUAUUUUAUUUUAUUUUUUUUAAAUUCUAAUUGGUGGGGAAUAUCCUUUCAAAUAUAUAGGGACUUGAAUUAAUUUUCAUGUUCCUGAUGUAUUAAAAGAUUUUUCAUUUGUUUUCUAUAUUUCUCCUCUGAAAUUUGUGGCAUGAACAACAACAAUAUUUUUCCAAUACUAGUACUCUAUACAUACAGCUUUGUGGAUUUGAUGUAUGGGUAUUGGGUUUUGUUGGGGUUUACACGGAGAGUGUCUUUUGGGGCUUUGUCUUUGUGUUUCCAUCUUGAUAUUAGGCAUUUUUCUUCAUUGUGGGGGUUUUAAAGUCUUACCAUUAUUGACAACAUAAACAUGAUCUUCAGCUUCAAUAUUUUACUAGAUUUUCUGUGAUAUAUUCUGAUGGAUUCCUCAGAUUUUUCAGUUAAAUUUUGUAGGUGAUUUUGUUGUUGGUAGUUAAUGUUUAGUUGUUCAUUACAAUAAUCAACUUUCUUUUUUAUUUUUAAUUUUUUCUCUGAUCUCUCACUCUCCUUACAUAUUUAUCCCUUACUGUGCAAAAAUAAAGAGAGAUGCUUGUUGUCUACUGUUUUGGUGGUUUCUUCAACUGAUACCCAGAUGCUGUUUUCUGUUGUAGAUUUUUUAUUUUUUUUUAUUUUUUUCCUUCAAAAUUCAACGGUUAAAUAGUUCAUAAACAAAAGUUGAUUUGUAUAUUGUUGUAGUUGGAACUUGAAGAUCACAAAAGGGUCUAGUGGUAUGAAUCCUUAAAAAAAUGGAAAACAAAUGUAACAAAGUGAUCAGCAAGUGCAGGGAAAAAAAUAUUAAUAUAUAGAGAAAGAGUGAGGUGGAGUCAGAUUUGUGCUUGUGGGUGUUACUGAUUUGAAAAAUAUUUUAGUGUUAAUAGCCUGUUGGUUAUGUCUCCUUGGCUAACUGGGUGCGCCCGGGCUCCUUGGGCUUUGCUGCCGACUAAGGAAACAGCCAUUUAUUUGGCUCUCUUGGCAUUGAAGAUAACCUUUUGUUUACAAACCCCAUCUUGUGUUUGCCUUUAUCUCUUUCUCUUUCUUACUCAGACUCACUUCUUUCUUUUGCCUCGGUUGUUGUCAAAGAUUCUUCACUCUCAGUCAUAUUCAUACCUCCACAAGCAUAUAUCCUCACCCCUCUUUGAGAUUGGAGACCAGGAAACUUGGGUUGGGUUGCAUUCACAAAUCUGGUCCCCACACCCUGGGAGUAUUCCUUUCUAUUUCUGGGACUUUUUCUUGAUUGGGGUUGUUUUUAUUUUUGUUCACUUAUUAGGAUGUGUGGUGGUGACUAUGAGGUAUCUGAUUUAGGCAUUUAGUACUACAGUUGGGUGUUGAAGAAGGUUAGUUUUGAAGGUAUAAGAGGGGCUGAAGCUAGUUGAUCUUCUUUUGCCUUCAAAGAUGAAGUUUAUGAAACUUGGAUCAAAGCCAGAUUCCUUUCAGACUGAUGGGAACAAUGUCAGGUGAGAGAUUUUUUGGUGCCAUAUUACUUUUCUUUCGAAACAUGAAUAAGGAAUUGCUGAUGCUGCUAUCUUAUGUUUGAUGCAUUUCAGUUUGUCUUGCAUAAGCCUGUUAUAGAUGAUUUUUGGCUCUUUCAAUUGUCUCUCUCUUCAUUAAAAUUUCUUUUUGUGAUCUCUUUUGUAUUAGAUUUACCAUUAUUCUUUCGUAGAUUUUCCACUUAGCGUGUACUGUUGCAGUUUGAUGGAAAAGUUUGAAUUUUGAGUUAUAUUCUCUGAUACUAUGUAGACAGUAGAUAUACUCUGCCCAAGUAAAUAGUUGUUUGAGGUUUAUUUCCUGCUCCCAUUGGGGACUGCUAACAACUUUGUCGCCUAUUGAAAUUAGGGUUUAUUUAAAUGUUGUUGGGUUUGAAAGUUCCUGUUAGUUUAUUGUCAUUCUUUUUGACCUUUCCCAUUUUAUGGCCCACAUUUGUACUCAUUUCCUGUACUUUUGAUAUUGACGUUGAAUUUUGAUGAUAUAUUUCUUCUUGGCAUUUUGAGGUUUGAUGAAUGGUGCUCAAUUUUCUUAGUUCUAACUUCUAACAACAUUAGGACAAUUGAAAAUUCACUUUUUUUUUUUUUUUUUUUUUAUUUAUUUAAUUUCUAAAUUUCUAUAGUUGUGCGAAAUUUUCUACGGAAGAUCAUGAGUUCACAGUUCGGAUUGUUUGCUGCAGGUAUUGUAGUAUUGCUUUUCCAGUACCUCCUCAGUUGACAUUAUUGACAAUUGAAUGUGAUGGGAUGUUCUUAUUAAUUGAGUGAAUAAGUAGCUUUUGAGUAAUUCGGCAAAAAAAAAAAAAAAAAAAAAAUUUGAGUAUUAUUUCACCAAAUAUAUAUAUAUAUAUAUAUAUUUUUAUAUAUUUAUUUAUUUGGAACUUCGGGUUAAGAUAGUAUGAUUGAAGUUUUUCCCUUCUCAUAAAUGUUGUGGGGAAAUUGUGACCCUUGUGAUUGUAAACCCUCAUAUUCUUUUAAUAGACAACUGAUGGUAACUAUGAGGUUCAGGUAGGUACUUUAAUUUAGCUUUCAUAAAGAUAACUUGAACUUGGUGUAUUUGAAACUACUUUGGUCUAGCAAUAUUGCUUUUUGGCAAGUAUUUGUAGUUUUACUCCGAAUUCCAACAACUUUACGACUAAGUUCUUGCACUAUCUCAGUAUUGGGUCUGUUUUGGAAUGUUUCCUCUGGUGAAGUGGAUUCCUUGUAUUAGUUUCAUGCUUCAGAGAAUUUACAUGGAAAUGCGAAAAAGUUUGAAUGAAUUGUUAUGCCUUGCUUAUUAGAGAACUUUCCCAUGUAGGUAACAUAUAAAGAUAGUGUUGGAAGGCCUGUUGAUGAGUUCAGAUAUUGUUCAUCUGUUAGGAAUGCCUUUGGUCAUGCUUAAAGUUUUUUGUAUGUCUUUAUAGUUAUCAGUUCAUUACGAGGAGCAUAACCAUGUGCAGGUAUGUGGCAAGUGAGCUGGCAACGGACAUCAUUCUUAUUGUAGGGGAUGUAAAAUUUUAUCUUCAUAAGGUACAAUAUUCUUUGGCUGAGUAAUUUAGUAUGUAAUGAAGAUAAUUCUUUUCAAUUUUUUUGUUUUUAUUUUUUUAAAUUUUAAUUUCUUGCUCCAACACCUGUAUCACUGUCCUUGAAUUGUGGAAUUUUUGAUUCAUAGAAGGGACACUAGCUACUUAUGCAGCAUGAGUAAUCUAUUUGCACUGGCUGAUCCUUAUACAAGAAUCUGCUACGAUUUUUUCUAUUUUUAAAUUUUCAAUCCAUUUCCCUUCCCUUCUCUGGAAAAAGUACAAGCUUAGUUAGUUAUUUAUAAAAGCCUCUAAAUUAAUUCCAACAUACGGAGUGACAAUGAUCUAAGCUAACUCUGAGUUCUCACAUGCUUGUGGAGCAAGGCUUAAAUUUUAAGUGUGAUAAAUUGGUUUGUUUAAUGAAAAUUCUAUAUAUCUAAUCUAUUACUGGAUAAAGAUUAUCAAAAUAGUAUUAGAAUCCACGUAGUUGAUAAUUGCCUGAUAAUUUAAUUAUAGUAAUCAAAUUGAGCUAAAAAGGAAUUAUAGGCAUGGUUAUCAAGGCAUGGAAUCAAAAGGUUUGUUAAGAGGCAUUGGUGGGAUUACCUUUAGCUUAUAAUUUUAGAACUUAGUCACUUUGGUCUCUAAUUUACAAUUCAAUUGCACUCAUAAUAAUCCAAGGCCUGUGUCGAUGUUUCCAAGGUUGACUGGUCCUAUACCUAUAACCGAAAGAAGCUUCCAGAGGAAAAUGGGAAUGAUCCAAACUGGAAUGGCGUUAGAAACUGUCUGGUGCCUGAGGACUGGUGGGUUGAGGAUUUGUGUGAACUUGAAAUUGAUCAUUAUAAGCGUGUUCUAAUGAUUAUUAAAGCAAAAAGGAUAGUUUCUAAUGAUGUGAUUGGAGCAGCCUUAAAUUUGUGAUAAUUUGGGAGUUCUAGUUUCUAUUUGAUUAUGAGCCAAUGUGUCCCUUCAAGAACAAAGAAAAAGAGAAAGUUAGAAACAAAAUGGGUAAUUAAACAUUAAGUGUAGAAUGGUAUGUUCCUAUUAUUUCACUUCAAGUCUUAGGUAUUUAGAACUGAUGGACAAGGUCAAGCUCACCGUGUUUCCAAUCUAAAGUUAGCCAGCAAAAAUGGCAUUACUCAAGUGAGAAGAUAAAUAUUUUCCUUGCUUGGUGCUUUUUAAUGUAAAUUUCUAAGUUCAUGUGGCCAAAAUAGGGAGCAUUGAAUUUGAAUUGCCUUUGGUUUACAUUAAGUGCAGUUGUACAACGCUGAUUUGACAUGUUAUGUUUAUUUGAUUGUGGAUGUUUAAUUGAGGCACUCAAAGAAAUAACUAGUAUUUAGGUGUGAAGUAUUGGAGGUUUAAAGCUAGUUCUUGCCAAAUUGAAAUGGUUGGGGUAACACCAGAGACACCCGGGAAUGCUGAGAGCAGCAUCAUUUGUGAAUGUAAGAAUAAUAACACUUUCUGUCAUGUCGUAAUGAUGUAUAGUUCCCUCAUCUUAUUACUAAUUACUAUUACUGCAAUUCUUCUAUCUGAUGCGUGAGUGUAUGUCUCCACAUGAUGGAUAAAAGUCUAAAAGUUACUGAUCUAUAUAUUGUUGUUGCUAACAAUUUUAUCAUGAAAGUGAAAAAAUUUGUUGUGGACCAUACAUUGUAAAUGUAGUCCAGUAAACAUUAUUUUUAAAAGCAAUCUGUUUACUUCUCUUAGCAUGUUAUCGUUGAUUUGCUUUUCAUGAUAGUAGUUGCCAAUACUCAAUAUUUUAUUUCUCGUGUAUAGAGUGCUAAAGGGUUCUAG